CAUCGCCUCUUGCCAGUAGAAUAUAAGAGGUCCCGCCUGCCCUGUGACUAUAUGUUUAACGGCCGCGGUAUUUUAACCGUGCGAAGGUAGCGCAAUCACUUGUCUUUUAAAUGAAGACCUGUAUGAAUGGCACGACGAGGGCUUAACUGUCUCCUCCCUCAAGUCAAUGAAAUUGAUCUCCCCGUGCAGAAGCGGGGAUGAGCCCAUAAGACGAGAAGACCCUAUGGAGCUUUAGACAUACGGUAUAUCCCGUUAAACACCCCUGGACAAAGGACUUAACUAAAGGAACCAUACCCCCCUGUCUUUGGUUGGGGCGACCACGGGGAAACAAAGAACCCCCAUGUGGAAGGGGAGCACUGCUCCUACAACCAAGAGCCGCAACUCUAGUGAACAGAACUUCUGACCAAAUAUGAUCCGGCAGUGCCGAUCAACGGACCGAGUUACCCUAGGGAUAACAGCGCAAUCCUCUUUUAGAGCCCAUAUCGACAAGAGGGUUUACGACCUCGAUGUUGGAUCAGGACAUCCUAAUGGUGCAACCGCUAUUGAGGGUUCGUUUGUUCAACGAUUAAAGUCCUA
rnacentral:rRNA from 1 species